GCAGGAGGACGACCUCCCCCGUCAUGGGCAUUCAAUCCGGGACGACCCGG
rnacentral:ncRNA from 1 species